GUUAGCUCAGUUGGUAGAGCACCUGACUCUUAAUCAGGGUGCCCAGGGUUCGAGUCCCUG
rnacentral:tRNA from 1 species